rnacentral:lncRNA from 1 species
CCUGAAUUCCUGCACUCAGGAUCCGGUACCCACAGACUCCACAAUGUCCUCUCCUUUAAUUCCAGAAUAUGGGACCCUGGGUUUCUCCAGAGCUGAGGCCACAAUAGAUAAGUUGCUUCCUGGAUCCUCUGGGCCUCAGAAAAUAAGAUAAGAAACUGGAGUUCUACACAGAGGAGGUGACAUAUCCAAGUUGACACAGACAGUAAGUGGUAAGGCUCACAUCUGAAUCCCUAUCCUCUCACCCCAAACACAGUGGCCUUUUCAUUGUCCUACAAUAUUUCCUUUUGAG